UGGCACACACUUGCAAAGCCUGCAGAACCAUGAGCCAAAUAAACCUCUUUUCUUUGUAAGUCACCCAACCUCAGAUAUUCCUUCAUAGCAACACAAACAGAUU